UGUCUGAUUAUCUAGUUGGUGAGGUAAAGGCUUACCAAGGCUUCGAUCAGUAGCUGGUCUGAGAGGACGACCAGCCACACUGGGACUGAGACACGGCCCAGACUCCUACGGGAGGCAGCAGUGGGGAAUUUUGGACAAUGGGGGAAACCCUGAUCCAGCCAUGCCGCGUGAGUGAAGAAGGCCUUCGGGUUGUAAAGCUCUUUCAGCCGGAACGAAACGGUCACGGUUAAUACCUGUGAUCACUGACGGUACCGGAAGAAGAAGCACCGGCUAACUACGUGCCAGCAGCCGCGGUAAUACGUAGGGUGCGAGCGUUAAUCGGAAUUACUGGGCGUAAAGCGUGCGCAGGCGGUUUUGUAAGUCAGAUGUGAAAUCCCCGGGCUCAACCUGGGAACUGCGUUUGA
rnacentral:rRNA from 1 species